CAUCACCAUGAAAGGGAGAGGCAUCGCUCGCCUUGCGAGGCUUGCGGCCUUGUUGAACACCAGGCACUCUCUGCUGACCGGCCCUCAACCCCAUUGCACAUUCCAGAGCGACAUCGAGCGCAGCGAGAUUACUCACUGCUCAGUGCCAUCAGCACCUGCCGACAUCGUCUUCACCAUCAAGGGAGUCCAGUAAUCCUUGCCACCCAGUGCCUACAUUCCAUGCAGGUGAGGGGGCUCUGGAACCAUUCCGCUAGAGGGGCUCACACAGAAUUGCCUGUCGCUGUGAAUCGGUCGUCUCCAACUCCACCAUUCUAUUCUCGCUUUUCUCCAGAGGCCAGGCAGCUUGCACCAGGCGGCUUCCAGGGCAUGGACGUCCCCACCGAUCUGGCAGCGCUUUGGAUCCUGGGGGUGUAUGUCUUUCUCCGCCAGGUACUUCACUGUCUUCGACAGGGCAAACAACCAGGUCGGCCCUGGCUCCCGUGGCUUAAGCCCAAGUCUUUCCAGCCACCUCCCCAGGAAGAUCUGACCUCCGUCCUGUGCCCACUUUAGAUGUAUCUACUUCUCCUGACUGUCCUUCCAGGGGAGUGCGGAGGUCUUGGCCCUGUUCCCUGUCUUACCAAUAUGUCGAAUAAAACAUAACCUUGCUGAAACAG